UUUUGUUCGUUCGCAUUUCCAUGUUUCCAUGAUCGUGAUAAUUUUAACGUUUCACAAUAAAAAAAAAAAAAAAAAAAAUGCACAACUUUUAAAAGAUCCACCGAUUCCAUCUCGAACAACGCAUAUCUGAAAUAAUCACGGAAAGCGGUGCGAUUAAAGCGAAGAACUUUUCUAAUUCGACCCAACGAGACGCGCUUGUUGUCUUCUCUCGACGCGUGAAAAGCACGAGUUGAAAAUUGCGAGCGAGGCUUUUAAAAAAAAAAAAAGCUCGCGAUACUUAUAAACGCAUCGAGCUCGGUAAUCGACGUUUUUAACCGUUUCGGUCGGUUGGACGAGGUUUCUGUAAUUUUCAUUCACGGUUCACGGUAAAUACGAAUGCAAAUGCGCAAGCGAAUCGACCAUUGGGAGGAGGGGAGGAAGGGAGGAAGAGGAGGAGGAGGAGGAGGAAGGUGAACGGAUGAUUGAAAUCGCGUGUAAUGAAUAUUUCAGCGGGCCGAAUUUUUUAAUAUAUUUCAACUCGGUUAUUCCCAGUGUUUUGAGGAAACGUGGUGUAAACGGGGUGAAAUUUCAAUAUUCGAAACAACGUUUAUUACACGCGGUGAAAAAAAAAAAAAGAAAAAGGAAAAAGGAAAAAAAAGAAAAAAAGAAACGAGCAACGAUGGGAUUUUUAUUGAAAUUAUAAAUGAAAGUUAAAGUAAGAAUUCGAGGAAUUUGAUGGCUACGAGAUUUAUGACGAGAAAUAUAAAGUGGUUUAUCGUUUCAAGAUUAAAUAUUUAUUUAUUCCAAGUGAAAAAUGCAAAGUCUAGAAUUGAUAACGUGAAUUUAAUAAAGAGAAAAAAAAAUAGAUAUUUAUUUGAUCUAAAAAUCGAAAGAUCUAAAGUAAAUUAUAUCGAAUAUAAUGAGAUUUAUUAAACGUUAAAUAAAUAUUUAUAACUUUUGCGUUUGAUUCAUAAGGAAAAUGUUAGUAUUUAUUCUUGUAGUAGUUAUUCUCGAGAAAAUAAAAUAUAUAGUUUGAAUUUGAAUUAAGCUUCGAAGCUUUUCUCUUUGCAAUCUUUGCAUUUCCUUAUCUUAUAUUUUCAAGGUUAAAUAUUUUGUCUUACCUCUCGUAGAGUACCUCGAAAGAAUCAAAUAUUUAUUUAAGAGCUUUUAUUUUGAUUCUAAACUUCCAAGGCUGUUUAUUCGAGCUAUGAAUAAAAAAAAAAAUGAGGAUUUCGAUUUGACUCUAAUUUCUUGAGAUCAAAUAUUUAUUUAAGAACCGUGAAAAAAUAUAGCUUUCACCUUGAAUUUUCCAGGGUCAAACAAUUUUCAGCUUUUAUCUUCUUCCAUUUCUUCAUCUUUCGUUCAAAUUUCCGAUGUUUAAUAUUCAUAUAUUUGAUUAAAUAUAAAUCUUUCUCUUUUAUUUUUCUCUCUUAUUAUUUAUUGCGACGACUUAUGAAUAAUAUACAUAUCCAUAUUUCCGCGUUUCGAAACACAUACACGUUUCAUCAUCUGUCGUAAUUGUUUACACUUUGUUUCCUAUCAUUUCCAGGAAUAUCCGUUUAUCUUAACUAUCAUUUCCACCAAACCAGUUAUCAAUUGUUCGAAUCAACGUGACACGUGUACACUCACACGUACACUUUUUUCAUUCUAUAUUUUCAUUAAUAUUUGCACGUUAGAUUCAUAUCCCUUCGUUUAUUAUUAUUUAUUUUACAUUCAAUAUUAUUUCGUAAUUAUCUUUAUACAUUGUUAUCCGAAAUUCCAAAAAUUCCUAUAACUCCCAUGAAAUAUUAAUUUUAACGCAAUAAAUUAUACGAUAUAUAUUCAUUUUCGUUCAAUUUCACGAAUACCAUAGUAAUCAUCACUUUCAUCAAUCUUGCGAAGAGAGGAAAACAAGAGUUAAUAAUUCGGUAACUUUACACUCGAAUCAAAUUUAAAUUAAACGCAACUUCUAGCGUUCGUUCGACAAAGCGAAUUCGAAAACAAGGAUUAAUGACCUAGAAAUGCAAAACUACCCUCCCCCUUCUCGAUAUCGUCACGGAUCAUCAAAGUAAAAUGCACUUCGAUGCUCGAACGUUUCGCAAUUAUACGCGAAUCGUUCGUGGCAAAUUGGAGAUCGUGUAUCCAUUGUGACCGAAUAUCAGAAACGUUGCAAUAUCGAGUCAUGGAGGAGGAGAACAAAGGGCGUGUUGCGAAUAAAUUUGGAAAACGUGUCGCGAUGUAAAAAAAGAAAAAAAAAACGGAUAAAGGUAAAAAAGAGAAGAAGAGAGGAGGGGGGAUGGAAAAAGGGAGGAAAAA